CUUAAAUGAAUUGACGGGACCCGCACAAGCGGUGGAUGAUGUGGUUUAAUUCGAUGCAACGCGAAAACCUUACCCACCUUUGACAUGUACGGAACCCUUUAGAGAUAGAGGGGUGCUCGAAAGAGAGCCGUAACACAGGUGCUGCAUGGCUGUCGUCAGCUCGUGUCGUGAGAUGUUGGGUUAAGUCCCGCAACGAGCGCAACCCUUGUCAUUAGUUGCUACAUUCAGUUGGGCACUCUAAUGAGACUGCCGGUGACAAGCCGGAGGAAGGUGGGGAUGACGUCAAGUCCUCAUGGCCCUUAUAGGUGGGGCUACACACGUCAUACAAUGGCUGGUACAAAGGGUUGCCAACCCGCGAGGGGGAGCCAAUCCCAUAAAGCCAGUCGUAGUCCGGAUCGUAGUCUGCAACUCGACUACGUGAAGUCGGAAUCGCUAGUAAUCGUGGAUCAGAAUGUCACGGUGAAUACGUUCCCGGGUCUU
rnacentral:rRNA from 1 species